GACAGAGGAUGCAAGCGUUAUCCGGAAUGAUUGGGCGUAAAGCGUCUGUAGGUGGCUUUUUAAGUCCGCCGUCAAAUCCCAGGGCUCAACCCUGGACAGGCGGUGGAAACUACCAAGCUGGAGUACGGUAGGGGCAGAGGGAAUUUCCGGUGGAGCGGUGAAAUGCGUAGAUAUUGGAAAGACCACCAAUGGCGAAGGCACUCUACUGGGCCAUUACUGACACUGGAGAGACGAAAGCUAGGGGAGCAAAUGGG
rnacentral:rRNA from 1 species